AACAGGAUUAGAUACCCUGGUAGUCCACGCCCUAAACGAUGAACACUCGAUGUUGGCGAUAUACGGUCAGCGUCUAAGCGAAAGCGUUAAGUGUUCCACCUGGGGAGUACGCCCGCGAGGGUGAAACUCAAAGGAAUUGACGGGGGGCCGCACAAGCGGAGGAGCAUGUGGUUUAAUUCGAUGAUACGCGAGGAACCUUACCUAGGCUAGAAUGCGCGUGACCGGUUCAGAGAUGAGCCUUUCCUUCGGGACACAAAGCAAGGUGCUGCAUGGCCGUCGUCAGCUCGUGCCGUGAGGUGUUGGGUUAAGUCCCGCAACGAGCGCAACCCCUAUGUUUAGUUGCCAGCGGAUUAUGCCGGGGACUCUAAACAGACUGCCUGCGCAAGCAGUGAGGAAGGCGGGGACGACGUCAGGUCAUCAUGGCCCUUACGCCUAGGGCUACACACGUGCUACAAUGGCCGGUACAGAGGGUCGCUACACAGUGAUGUGAUGCCAAUCUCAAAAAACCGGUCUCAGUUCGGAUCGGAGUCUGCAACUCGACUCCGUGAAGCUGGAAUCACUAGUAAUCGCGUAUCAGCAAUGACGCGGUGAAUACGUUCCCGGGCCUUGUACACACCGCCCGUCAAGCCAUGGAAGUUUGGUAGACCUGAAGCCGGUGCUCGUCACAGAAGCCGGUUAGGGUAGAACAAGUAACUGGGGCUAAGUCGUAACAAGGUAACC
rnacentral:rRNA from 1 species